GUAGGGAAUAUUGGGCAAUGGUCGGAAGACUGACCCAGCCAUGCCGCGUGCAGGAAGACGGCCCUCUGGGUUGUAAACUGCUUUUAUCUGGGAAGAAAAAGGCCAUGCGUGGCAAAUUGCCGGUAUCAGAUGAAUAAGCACCGGCUAACUCCGUGCCAGCAGCCGCGGUAAUACGGAGGGUGCAAGCGUUGUCCGGAUUUAUUGGGUUUAAAGGGUGCGUAGGCGGCUGAUUAAGUCAGCGGUGAAAGACUCCGGCUUAACCGGAGCAGUGCCGUUGAUACUGGUUAGCUUGAGUGUUGGAGGGGUACAUGGAAUUGAUGGUGUAGCGGUGAAAUGCAUAGAUACCAUCAGGAACACCGAUAGCGAAGGCAUUGUACUGGCCAACAACUGACGCUGAUGCACGAAAGUGUGGGGAUCGAACAGGAUUAGAUACCCUGGUAGUCC
rnacentral:rRNA from 1 species